rnacentral:rRNA from 1 species
AGAGUUUGAUCCUGGCUCAGGAUGAACGCUGGCGGCGUGCCUAAUACAUGCAAGUCGAACGGGGUGUUUGAGCAAUCGGACACUUAGUGGCGAACGGGUGAGUAACGCGUUGGUGACCUGCCCCAAAGCGGGGGAUAACAGCCUGAAAGGGUUGCUAAUACCGCAUAUGAUGAUGAGAGACUAGAAACUUAUCAUUAAAGGAGAAAUCCACUUUGGGAGGGGCCUGCGUCCCAUCAGCUAGUUGGUAGGGUAAAAGCCUACCAAGGCGAAGACGGGUAGGGGACCUGAGAGGGUGACCCCCCACAAUGGAACUGAAACACGGUCCAUACACCUACGGGUGGCAGCAGUAGGGGAUAUUGCACAAUGGGCGGAAGCCUGAUGCAGCAACGCCGCGUGAGUGAUGAAGGCCCUAUGGGUUGUAAACUGCUUUUGUAUGGGAGCAAUAAGAUCUACGUGUAGAUUGAUGAGAGUACCAUACGAAUAAGCACCGGCUAACUCCGUGCCAGCAGCCGCGGUAAA